AUACGGGGGGUGCAAGCGUUAUUCGGAAUCAUUGGGCGUAAAGGGCACGCAGGCGGCCUGGUAAGUCAGAUGUGAAAGCCCGGGGCUUAACCCCGGAAGGGCAUUUGAAACUAUCUGGCUUGAGUAUGGGAGAGGGAAGUGGAAUUCCUGGUGUAGAGGUGAAAUUCGUAGAUAUCGGGAGGAACACCGGUGGCGAAGGCGACUUCCUGGACCAAUACUGACGCUGAGGUGCGAAGGCGUGGGGAGCAAACAGGAUUAGAAACCCCAGUAGUCC
rnacentral:rRNA from 1 species